AGAGAAGCGAAGCGGUGACGUGGAGCAAACCUCAGAAAGCCAAUCUCAGUUCGGAUUGUAGGCUGCAACUCGCCUACAUGAAGUUGGAAUCGCUAGUAAUCGCGAAUCAGAAUGUCGCGGUGAAUACGUUCCCGGGUCUUGUACACACCGCCCGUCACACCACGAGAGUUUACAACACCCGAAGUCAGUGGCCUAACCGCAAGGAGGGAGCUGCCUAAGGGUGGGGUAGAUGAUUGGGGUGAAGUCGUAACAAGGUAGC
rnacentral:rRNA from 1 species